rnacentral:rRNA from 1 species
AGUGAACGCUGGCGGUAGGCCUAACACAUGCAAGUCGAACGGCAGCACAGUAAGAGCUUGCUCUUACGGGUGGCGAGUGGCGGACGGGUGAGGAAUACAUCGGAAUCUACUUUUUCGUGGGGGAUAACGUAGGGAAACUUACGCUAAUACCGCAUACGACCUACGGGUGAAAGCAGGGGAUCUUCGGACCUUGCGCGAUUGAAUGAGCCGAUGUCGGAUUAGCUAGUUGGCGGGGUAAAGGCCCACCAAGGCGACGAUCCGUAGCUGGUCUGAGAGGAUGGUCCGCCCCACGGGAACGUGAACACCGUCCCGGCGACUUAGGGAAGGCACAGGUGGGAAUAUUGGACAAUGGGCGCAAGCCUGAUCCAGCCAUACCGCGUGGGUGAAGAAGGCCUUCGGGUUGUAAAGCCCUUUUGUUGGGAAAGAAAAGCAGCAGGUUAAUACCCCGCUGUUCUGACGGUACCCAAAGAAUAAGCACCGGCUAACUUCGUG